GACGCCACAAUGACCGAGGACACUGAGUCUGGGGAGGGAUAAUCUCUCUGAGAUGAUGAAUCACUGCGUCUAAUCAGUGAGGACACCUCUCUGAUUCUCAGUGAUGUUCAGCUGAAAUGUGUGGCUUUCCUUCUCCCCCUGCUCCCCACCAAGAAGAUUCCUUUAUCAGAAAGCAGAUCUACACACUGGCCGAGUCUUCCAGAGCGCUGGGUCGGGGGGAGUGUGCUGUGUGGGCAGGGGGAGUGAGGAAGCCAGGAGGUGCUGAAUUCCUAUCAGAUAGCCACUGACUCUUAGGGCCACCACGUGACCUCCUGCUCUGCAGCGUCUCCAAGGGCAAUGACAUGAGGAUCUGCACUCAAGUGCCACAGAACAAGCCUGAAACUACUGGCACGUCUUUAUCAGUCACCACAGAUGAGGCAGGAAGACGAGGCUGUGGAGGCCCAGUGCAGGCUCAUUUUCCUUAUCGAGAGCUCUUUACAGAGCUGUGAGUGUCCCCGGCAAGCUGAUGGGUGGGUGGGUAUUAUUCUGAAAAAGAUGCCGACAAUUUUUUUCCCCACUGAAAAAAUAUCUCUAGACAAUAUGAUUAGACUUGGGGAGGGAGGGAUGCCACUCGUUUUAGCUUUUAUGUCUUGUGCUGUGCUAAGAACACAAAAUGACCUGGUUUUCAGUCAUGCUCCUGUCAGGGAUUUUCUCCACAAUUUAUGAAUACUUUUCCCUUCUGCCUUUCUUCCCACCUCUUAGAAGCAUGAAGCUGAAGUUCCUGUACUCUCCCUGCUCUGCCGGCACACCUGCUGGUUCUUUACUGGGAGGUCCUUAGGAAGUAGCGCUAACCACAACAGAUUCGAAAUGCCAACCCUGGGAGAGGGCGACACACCUGGGAGGUCACAGCUUGGAUUUCGUGAGCUUGCUGACACCCUUUUAAACUACACCUCCAUGGAGAGUAAACUCCAGGGGUGGCAUCCUUCUUAUAGGAAAAGAAGUUGUGUUUUUCCAAUAUCCACCUAUUUCAUCUCUUCUGACCUUAACUAAAAAGAUGACAGUGAGGGAAUUAUUGAUGAAACUGGGUCAGCCAUUCUUAGGAAGAGCCUCUGGGCUGCCACAGGGAGCGAUGGCGAGGCUCUUGGGCAUGUCCUGGGGCUGGCUCUGGCCCUCUCCCCUGCCCGAGAUAGUCACCACUUGAGGAUGGGCCUCCAUCACAGAGUGGCAGAGCUGCUCCAGUGCCCCCUGGUCCUGCAUCAGUUCAAGCUGCUUUUCUGAAACAAUCUGCCCUGGAGUCUUGCCUUCCCUCUUCCACAGUUCCUCAAACACCUAUGGACCAGAGAAGGGAGAGGAAAGAGAAAUGAGAAGUCAGCUCUUCUGCCAGCUCCAUUUGCAGUGCUGUGCUGUGUGGAGCUGGGGUGGGAAUGAGCAGAUUCAAUUAAGUCCCCACUGCCUGGGCCUGGCCCAAAGGGAAAGGGCACCUGGCUGCCCUGCCAGAGCGUUGGCUCUCCUGAGGCAUCCCUGAGUGCAGGGCUGGGGAACAAGGCCAGCUAGGUGGAGUGAAUGCACCUGGGGUCUCCUCCUGAGGCUGAAGUCUCCCUCAGCAUAAGGUGUGAGAGGACUCGGGCCAGCCAGAUGCCCUCGUGCCCAGAGGGAUGGUGAGUCCUGCCCGGCUGACUCCACAUGGCGGGGGGGGGCCGCGGGAGGCGUGGAGGUGCCCAUCACUCAUGGGCGCCUGCUGACGGGAGUCGGCGGGCCACUGAUGGAUCUGUCUCAUGGCCGCCGAAUUAAUUGAGGUGACAUUUUGGUGAAGGAUGGGGCCACACAGCCUGCAGGAGGUAACCACGGUACUAAAUAAAGUCCAGAAACAGCAUGCUGGGAAAGAUGACUUUAGGGAGGCAGGAAAGUAGCCCCGUAAUGAAGAUACAAAAUGGCAAACAACUGAAAACAUAAAUUAGAAUCCACAGGGGCCCCCUGGCCUACCACAUUCAUCUCCUACAGGUAGAGCCGGACCCAAAUCAGACUAGGAUAAUGAACGCUAAUGUUUGGGGCAUUUUUUUUUUACUUAAAAAAUGACAACAACAAAUCCCCAAAUUCAUCAAACCUGAGAAAAAGGAAACCAUUUUCAAGGAAGGCUAUUUCCUAGGGUAGCUGUUUUCCUCAUUUCUCUUGUCUUCUAGCGAAAGCCAGAAUUGGGAGCCGGGAGGAGGGCUUCCUCUGUUGGUCUCCCACCGGUGCCACCUCCGUCCAGUCCACAGUCAUGACUGAACACCCAACUUUCCCUGUUACCUUGGUGGCCGAGAACGGGCCAACCAGGAGCCAUUCCUCCUGGAAAAACAGAGCUCUUCCAUAAUUAGCACGAACAGCAAAGCAAAUAAAAGGGAGAUGCUCUGAGUCUCAGCAGGGCUCAAAGUCUUCCCCAGUCUGAUUCAAAAACAAACCACAAAUACUUAUCACUGCUGGGACAGGCACUGCGCCUUCAGCCUGGUGCCUCAGAACGUGCGCUGUGACUGUGGCCAAGGAGGUGUGCUUGGCAGGUCCUGGGUAAGCUCCCUACAGGGCACCCCUCUGCCGCUGCCCGACUGCUCAGGAAAAGCCUGGCCCUACUCUUAGAAAAAUACAGAAUGCACGUGCCUCCAACUCAAUUCAGCAGAUAUGUACGUGGCCUGACAAUGAGGAAACCAUUGGGAGAAAGGGGGCACAGAAGCGGGAAGAAACUUCCUCACUCUCAACAUGCUUAUCAGUGGAGUGCUGCCAGCAGAAGCACUGGGGACCUGGAUGGCGUUCCAUGGAGCUGCCCUGUAAGUCGGAGGAGUCCAUCUGCCCCCUUUCUCUGACACGUUUAUUUUUUGAACUAGGACUUAAAUUUUAAAAAUCAUUUUCUAAUAAUAAAAGUUAAUACACAUUCACUGCAGAAAAUAUAAGGAAAUACAGGAGAGAUCAAAAGAGAUCACCGGAAUUCCCAUUUUCUCAAGAAAACCAAUGUUAAUAUUUUGGUGUUUUUUCUUCCCAUCUUUUUCUUUCUGUUUUGUAACAUACUUGGGAUCAUAACGUAUAUUCAGUUUGUGUCCUGCUUUCUUUCAUUUAGCACAGAAGUACUUUCUUAAUAAAAAGAUCUAGCUAGUAUCCAUCAGAUGUAUUUAUCAUAAUUUAUCCCCUCCUCGUAGAUAUCUAGACUUUGACCAGUGUUGAUUUUGUUCAUCUGCACAGACUCCCAAAAAAGCUCCUAGCUGAAAACCUGGCUCAAAACAGAAACCACCUGUAAGGACUUGCUCGUGAAAAAUCUACGCAGCAGUUCCCUCCAGGAAAACCAGGCGGACGAGCAGCCUGUGCCUGGAAGUAGGCGGGGCCCCUCCUGGGUCUGCGUCUGCAGACACAGACCAGGGAGCGAUUUCUCAGCGCCUGUGGUAGCUGCUGCGGUGGGAAGCACACGGCAGACCCUGAGCAGGCUGGCCAGUGAGCCAGCCUCUUUCUGACGGGACCCACAGCUCGAAUGUUGGCUGGAUUUGCCUGGGCCAAAAUAAGCGGAAGAGUGGCAGAGUGCUUGGGGAUCACUUCCAAUCACACCAUUCAGAAGGAGAAGCAGUGCACCUCUAGGACAGAUGCCUUCAAACGAAGAGGCUGGCUGCUCCCCGAGAAGGAGGGCCAGGCGGGGUGGUACCAAGCAGUGCCGCUAGAGAAACAUCAUUCAGCAGCCUCCUGGAACACAUGGGAGCCCGGUGGCUGAAAUGUCCUUUCCUCCCAGAGUUAGAAUACAUAAUGUUAGUUAACUCCACAAAUUAGUGCAGUGGCCAUGACAGUCGAGGCCCCCAGUCCCCAGUCCCCUAGGCUUAUACAACAGACGCCGGUUGUCCCAUCCUUUGCUCAAUCCUAUUUAAGACGAGGAUUGUGCACUCCUGGCUGGAGUCCAGGAGGGUGGGAGCCACUGGGUGGUAGUGGAGCGGCCCUGUCUCCAGGCCAGACUCUCCUGCUCCUGGCCCUCUUGACGCUCACAGAGUGGCCUCUGUGGCUGCCGAGCCCUGUGCUGCAGCAUAAAUCCUCAGCUUUUGUCUGUGUUUAAUCCCACCCUGAGAAGUGAUAUCCAAGUGCAACUGUUUCCAGCCAGGAGCGCAGCUCCCAGGCCCUGCUGCUGCCUACCCAAGACAAACAGAUGUAACAAGGAAUUUCUAGCACAGUGCUGGUCCUCUGUGUUAAUAAAUGGCCGACCAGGAGUACUGGGUAAUGCAAGCUGGGAACUCCCCAUCACACACAGACACUGGAGCCGGCUCUGACACAUGGGGCAGAGACUCGGCCUUUGGUUCCCUGAGGACUGAAUUUACACACCCUCUUAGUUGCCACCCAACUGUUUCUAGCUAAAGCUAUUUUUGAAGUAUCCUGAAGGAAAGCACACAAGACUCUAGCCUCUCCCUGCCUGUCCUGGGUUUCCAAGGUCAGGAUAUGGUGGAAAGACCUGUUCAAGGGACAUGGCAUGGAGGGAGCUGUCACAGUUACAGAGAAGGGAGCCCCCUUUUUGGUCAAAGGCAAGUAUUGUGAAAGGUUACUUUUCUAGAAAGGCACAAACAUCAACCCAAGCCCCUAAUAAAGCGGGGCCCAGUAAACUGUGCAGAUAACUGAAGCACUAAAGAGAGAAAAAGACAUCUAGUCAUUUGUAAUACAGCUUUGGUGCAUGAUAUAUAACAUUUUGUACAUUAAAAGGUUUUUGGCGAUUUCUCUUUAAAGCAGACCACAAAGUAGACAAGAGAUUGGUUAUUAUGGAACACUUGUGUGUUAAACGCGAUUUCCAUCUCUGCGGCACCCAAUUCCAGAAACGUUAACUGGACAAUCCUCAGGGGAUGGUGGAUCAUCUGCAUCUGUUUCCAGACGUGCAUGAAGGAUCUCCUUCGUACACCUACACAACCCAUGCGAUUUCCCUUGAACCAUGACUAACCAGCUGUCUGGACGACAUCCAGGGCGAGUCACAAGAGGCUUGGGAAUCCUGGGAGGCUGUUUUCAGAUUAUGGAAAUGCAAAUCAAAUCCUCCCUGAUACGACUUCACACCCACUAGGACGGCUAUAGAAUCAAAAAGAUGGACAAUAACAAGUGCUGGUGAGGACAUGGAGCAACUGGAACCCUUGCACACUAACAGGUGAGACUGUAAGAUGGUGCGGCCAUUUUAGAAUACAGUCUGGCACUUCCUCAUUAUAUGAAUGAAACACAGCAUUACCAUAUGACCCAGAAAUUCCAUUCCUAUAGGUAUACAUCCAGCCUGUGUGCAAAAACUUGUACAUGAAUGUUUAAGGCUGCAUUAUUCCUAAUAGCCAAAAUGUGGAAACAACUCAAAUGUCCAUCAACUGAUGAAUGGACAGACAAAAUGGAAUGUGUCCGUACAAUGGUGAAGGGGCUUGGCAGACGAGCAGCCCCAUUUAGCCCUAAAAAGGCGUGAAGGACUGAUGCGUGCCGCAACACAGAUGUACUUUUCAUAAAAUGUCCAGAUAAAAUAAAAAUAAAUAAAUAAUACAAAGUCAAUAAAUACAUAAAAUAUCCAGAUAAAAUGCUUGACACUAUAUAAUUAAUAAUAAGAAAUAAACUAAAAAAAAGUACACCA